ensembl:lncRNA
ACUGUAUGUCGAUACGUGAGAUUCUGGAGGGACGUCGGACGGCGUGGCGCGGUGACGUAAUGACGCGGGCUGUUAAUCUAAUUAUGUUCUAAAACAUGUCAAACGGGAACAUGACAGGAGUAAGGUGUGUACAUGAGUCGCUUUUAGAAUACUCUGAUCAUGUCCCUGUUUUAGACGUUAUAGAACAUAGAGGGAUUAGCGGUACACGUCAUUACGUCCCCGCGCCACGCCGUCCGACGUCCCCUCCAGAACACCCCCCCCCCCAAAAAAAAAAACCCCCAAAAAAGUAUCCCGAAUUUCCUUUUCCAGAUAAACUCUUUUAAACAAUUUUACUGCAUGACUGUAGAAUUUUCUAGAUCUCGAGUAGGCCCUGCAUUAGACAGCUGUCCUUAUUCUGCCUUUGCAAAUAGGCCAGAUCGUAUCUGCCCUAAAACGCUGCCUCUGUCCUCCGAGGUAGCUCGCUUUUAUAUAUUUAAUGAUGCUGGGAAGUUUUGCUGACAGCCGGAUAGCCGAAGCGACGGAGAACCGCAUGGCUACGGCUCUAGACUACAGAGCAGAUCGUCUCGGAUCCGAGCUACGUCUCGCUCGUAGCUCAGAGUUUCCCCCGUUCUCCAUGCUGUGACGUUCGUUUAUUUAUAAAAUUCACAGGCAGAUCACACGCUCGCUCGUUCACACUCUGCGUUUCACAGGGUUUUAUAUUUAUACUCGUUCCCCAUCAACACCCCCUCCCCCUCCCCCUCCGGCGUCACAGAACCGGCGCCGUACACGGAGCCGUCUCACGUCUCUCACAUUUCCAGCACUCUGAGAUUCUCUUUUGGUGCGGUCCAGAGGAGAGACACGGCUUCCAGCGUCGUCUGUGUGAAAAGCCUUUUCAUCCGCUGACACGUAUCUGACAUUCACUCUCCGACACGUGUGUAAAGUCUGUACUUUACCGCUGAGAUGGAGCAGUGAUGGACCACUGCUUCUUCUUUCCUUCUUUCCUUUGUUCUUUCUUUCUUUCUUUUUCCUUGCUGGCAGUAAUCUCUGCUGGAACGUCUGUCAGUCACGGAGUCAGACUAAAAGCCUGUCGGUUAAAGCCUGCCGUGUUUUUUUUUUUUUUAUUAACAAAAAAAAACACACAACAAACAAACAAAAAAAAAUGUAAGCAAACGCAUCUAUUUCCUUAAUCGUCUUAAUCGCGUCGGCGUCUGUUAAUGACACGUCGGAUCAAUUUCCCCUUAACGAAAAGUCUAUUAAUCGCGCAGGAUUUUGUAAGCGCUGUUAUUUAUCACUAACGACUGGGAAUGACUUUCCAGAGAUGGAAGCGUUAACCGGCGCCCGGCUGGGUUCAGCAGCACAAUUACACCGGUUUAAUGGACAGUUUUGAAACGAGCUCCCGUGUUUCUCAGUUUGAAGAUGAAACGUGGAGAGAAAUAUUCCCAGCUCCGAACAUACCUCGGCUUGGAUGAUCCGUUUCCAUCCCGCGUCAACAUCGAUAACGUUUUCCGCCAGAAAUGACCGUAAAAGACGAAAAAACGCGCGGAAAAGUUUCACACAGGAACUUUUCCACCGCACGCACUCUGUCCGUCUACGCGUAGCUGGGUUGUGUGAUAUUUUCUGCUUAAUUGUUUAAUUUAUAACAAAAAAAAAAUAGUUUUUCAUUACCUCUGAGUUUCUAAAUGAAACGUUAAUUAAUUAGCUUUAUAUAUACAGCUUGGUUUGGGGAUAUAAUAUCCUAUUAAAAAGGACAGAGUUUGUUUUUCCUGAUCGCUUUUUAUUUAUUUAUUUAUUUAUUUUUAAAAUGAAACAUUACUCAUACAUGCUUUAUUUUCAAACCAUUAAAUAAACCGUCAGAAACUCAUUACAAUUUAUGCAACAGAGCAAAAAGCUUAUUAUUCAUAAUAAUGAGAAGAAAAAGAAAUCCAGCGCUUGUUUUCAGUGCAGAAUUGUUCGAUGCAAAACAAUGGAUAAACAAAGUAGAUUUUUUUAAACAUUUUUUUUUAAAUGCCGUGGAACGUCUCUGAAACAAGUUCGCGUUCUCACCUACGUUAUAGCAGCUAUAAACGAAAUCGUUCCCUCAGAGAAAC